GUGGGGAGUUGUCGGAUUCUUGGGCGUAAGAGCACGCAGGCGGUUUGGCAAGUCGGAUGUGAAAUCCCGGGGCUCAACCCCGGAACUGCAUCCGAUACUGCCAUGCUAGAGGAUUGGAGAGGUAGCUGGAAUUCUUGGUGUAGCAGUGAAAUGCGUGGAUAUCAAGAGGAACACUCGUGGCGAAAGCGAGCUACUGGACAAUUCCUGACGCUGAGGCUCGAAGGCUAGGGUAGCGAAAGGGAUUAGAUACCCCUGUAGUCCUAGCAGUAAACGGUGCACGCUUGGUGUGAGGGGAAUCGACCCCCCUUGUGCCGGAGCUAACGCGUUAAGCGUGCCGCCUGGGAAGUACGGUCGCAAGACUAAAACUCAAAGAAAUUGACGGGGACCCGCACAAGCGGUGGAGUAUGUGGCUUAAUUCGAUGCAACGCGAAGAACCUUACCAAGGCUUGACAUGCAUCUCUAAACACGUGAAAGCGUGUGACCCUUCGGGGAAUUUGCACAGGUGCUGCAUGGCCGUCGUCAGCUCGUGUCGUGAGAUGCUGGGUUAAGUCCCGCAACGAGCGCAACCCUUGUGAUUAGUUGCCAGCACGUAAUGGUGGGAACUCUAGUCAGACUGCCCAGAUCAACUGGGAGGAAGGUGGGGACGACGUCAGGUCAGUAUGGCCCUUACGCCUUGGGCUGCACACGUACUACAAUGCCCAGCACAAUGAGAACCGAUACCGCGAGGUGGAGGAAAUCUGUAAAACUGGGCUCAGUUCGGAUUGGAGGCUGCAACUCGCCUCCAUGAAGUUGGAAUCGCUAGUAAUGGGGCAUCAUCUACGGCCCCGUGAAUACGUUCCCGGGUCUUGUACACACCGCCCGUCACAUCAUGGAAGCCGGUCGCACCCGAAGUGCCCGUACCAACCCAUUCGCAAGUUUGGGGGGUAGGGUCCUAAGGUGUAGCUGGUAACUGGGAUGAAGUCGUAACAAGGUAAC
rnacentral:rRNA from 1 species